CCGCACCAGGGCUAGCCCUCUCUGCCACCUGCUGCUGUGUCAGUAAGGAGGGUGGGGAGCCAGCCCCGGGUUUGUAAUAAUAAAGACUCUCUGCUUUUGCAUCGGACUCGGCUGGAUCCUGAAAUCUGGGCAUAACAAUCUCAAGCAGCGCGACUGACUGCGUGAACUCAGACGAGCACUGCUUCUUCUCACGGAAAGCCCAACGAUGAACGGCUCAAAUUCUGGAAACAUUGGAACCCUCAGCACUAUGCCAGCAGCAGCACCUACUUCCAGCACUGGCGUUCGGGAAGGCUGGCAUGAACAUGUCACCCAGGACCUGCGGAGCCACCUAGUGCAUGAACUCGUCCAAGCCAUCUUCCCAACACCUGACCCUGCAGCCCUGGAGGAUCCCCGCAUGAAGAACCUAGUGGACUAUGCUAAGAGAGUGGAAGGGGACAUGUAUGAGUCUGCCAACAGCUGGGCUGAAUACUAUCGCUUACUAUCAGAGAGAAUCGAUAUGAUACAAAAAGAACAAGAAGAAAGACGGAGGUUGCGUUUGGGCAUCUUGGGUAACCAGCCAGCUUACCAGCCACCAGGGCGCAGCCUCCCGGGAUACCAAGGUCACAACCUGUGAGACCCCCAGGGACAGGUGCCUGGUGUUGCUCUUCCUAACCUUCCGAACAUGCUUGGGUCCCAGCUGCCUUGUCCACCAGAGACACAGUCGCCUUUGCACCAGACACCGCCUCCUGCUUCCACAGCCGCUGGCCUGCCACCUCUACAGCAUCCAGCAGCACCUGUGAUGACUCCUCCCCCGCCAGCAGCUCCCCCUCAGCCAUCGACUCCUGUGUCGUCUUCCAGGCAGACUCCUACCCCAACUCCUGGCUCCAUAUCUUAGUUCUUAUAAAAAAUUCUGCAGGGAGCAUACAGGGGCAUAUGCUUUUUCAAAUUAGUGUUUAUAAUUUCUUCAAAUAAAUACCCAGAAGUGGAAUUGCUGGA